GAAAGUUUUUGUCGGUGGUGGGGAGGGGGGCGACGACAUUCUGUCAUGUCAUAACAAGAUAUCGUGUUAUAUGAUCAAUUCUAAAUACUUGUGUUUGUAAAGCUAUGGAGGAAAGUCGGAAAGAUUAUUUCACCUUCUGUCUUUGGGAACAUUCCUGAAUGGGUUUGAUAAGUCCCAGAAAUUAGGUGCGCUUCGAAAUUCACAAUAAAGGGUAGGUAUCUGAAAUACAUGCUUGUUUAUAACGUCUUUAUUGAAGAUUUCAGGGGUAAAGUAUGUGGAAAGACCAAUCGCCUCUAUCAAAUAAUGCUCCCACUGCAGAAUCCCGGUAUUUUACACCACUACUCACCCUAUGUACACUGUAAGAAAAUGGGGAGCAUAUUUUGAUGCUGGUUUAUAACAACUUUAUUGAAGAUUGCAGGGAUACAGUAUGUGGAUAGACCAAUUGCCUCUAUCAACUAGUGCUCCCACUGCAGAAUGACGUUAUUUUACACCACUACUUGUAUCUGCUCUGCACAUGCCAUCCCGCAUCAGAGUCAGGUAUCCAACGAGUGACGCUCUUAUUCCCGCUCGCUCUCUUUGCUUGACAGCAAUCUAGCAUCUGGGAUCGAUUGAUAUUCGUUGGGUCCCCGGAUGUUAACACCGAGUUUCAUACAUUGAAUUUUGCAACUGAAUUUGGCAUGUUGAAUUUGGGGACGUUGAAAAUAUUUAAGUUGAAUUUUCUAACCUUGAAUAUUUGAGUUUGAGUUUUUUAACAUUGAAAAAUAGAGCUGGAAAUGAUUUAUUGAGUUAAAUUCGGUGGCAAAAAUCCAGAUACGUUAUUUUAAUGCAUAAAUAUUCAGUGCUUAAAAUUCAAUGGCUUUUUGUUUUCAAAUCCGAUGACACAGAUUUACUUCCAUAGAUAUACUUCCAUACCGAGCACCGUUCAUUUGUGAACCUGGCUGGUGUAUGGUCUUCUAACAACUAUACUGCUGCAUAUCCUGUAGUAGUUUUCCAAAUGUAUUCAUGGUAUAGCCAAAACAGUAUGAAAACAGUAAUAGAUAACUUCAGUCGAGUUUCUUCUGUGCACAUUGUCUAAUAUCCCUUUCACUACAUAUAUAUAUAUAUAUAUAUCGCCUAUAUAUAUAUAUAUAUAUAUAUAUAUAUAUAUAUAUAUAUAUAUAUAUAUUUGUUUAUCUCUAUGCACACACAUCCCCUGAGGGUAAGCAGAACUGAGGGAAACAAACAAAUGGAUGUCUACACGUUUUUGUAUAAUAGUUGAAACAUCAGAUGAGCAAACACAUAAAGUAGUCUACAACCAUGUCGGCUCACAUACUCUCAUCACAGGUUGCAACGUCUCACACGCACACACGCACACACACACAUCCAGUAGGCUAUAGAGGCUUAAUAUUUCGAAACAAGGUCUUCCAAUGGCAAAUAGACCAUGAAUGUAGACAUGACCUGUUCCAGGUCAGCGUGGUGUUGCCCUGCCGUACAGAAGCACGGUGCACUGUUUCCUGUGUACUACCCACAGUUCUUCUCGUCACCAGAGAAUCAGUGUCCAACACUCUUCCUCCUUCCACUCUGUUCCUUCAGAAGCUCUUGGCCGCAGUCCUAAAACAUGAGAUCUCUGAAGGUACAUUUCAGGAUUUUUAAACAGCACCGGCACAAGGGCAUGAGCAGUGGUUUAUACAAUGUUUUCCAUUCUGCACAUUUGAUAUGGUUUAUUUUUUUUUAUUUAGUCAGACAUAAUGUUGCAUAAUGAUUAAAUAGAAAAUAAAUAACUGUCAGUGAUGUUACAGGAUAAUGUUGCUAUCAGGGGGCAGGCAAUAGAUUGACACAAGCAUCACGUUGAACUAAGUGAACUAAAUGGGCCACUAACAAGGCCCAUUUGUCUCAUAUCCCCUUGGCAGCCUCCAAGAUUUAGCUCUCAGUAGAAUCUGACAUUAAAGAAGUGAGGCAGGGAUACAUAAUAUAAUACAGUCAUCCACAAAAUAGGCUACCACACAGUUUGUCCUUUCGACUAAAAUCAAGAGCCAUACUUGUCAAAAUCGUGCCCUACAUUCAGUCAGAUACCACAGUGGUAACAACCAGAUGUUUUAACAGGACACUUCUGUCAGGUCCCUUAUCACACGCUACCCCUCUUAGGACACUAGGGUUGCGGUUGGAUAGUAAAGAGAAAUACGUCCUAUGCUACUCCUUUGCUAACCUAUUCUCCUUGACCUUGACGGAAAGCGUCAUGAGGUCAAGGAAAGAUGUGAAGGAGAAUGCAUAAGGACUUAUAAUUGUCGGUAGAUCAUGUUGAUCAUUGUUGAUCAUUUGUGUCUGCCACAUCGUCGUUUUAAAUGUGGGACGGCAUUAUCUCCUUACUUUAGUAUUUAUGGUCCGGUGUACCCUAUGCUAACACAGAUAAGAAAGGCAGCAUUGAAGCACUUUUCCUUUGAUUUUAGAGAAUUCUAAUAGCUCCUAUCAUGGCGGCCAUCUAGAUACUUCCGGGUCAUUUAAGUUAGUUAGGAACCUUCCUAAGCAAUGACACUAUCUGACAGCAGCCUAGAACACUAUGAUCUGUGAGGGUUUUGCUAGUGUGCGCCUCAUGUCUGCCUCUGGGAUGCUAGCAAAUUCAAAUCGCAAACCAUAGGAGGAAGUUGUCACCAAAAAGCAGCGUGACGUAAAUGACACUCAUCUCAUGUAACUUUUCGCUUUGUAAAUCUAACUAUAUAUUACAGAUAUGUAUGAAGUGUUUAGCACGUAUAGCCAGCACCUUUCCAGAGAACAUAAAAAAUAUGCUGAAUAUGGUACAAAUAUAACGACAAUUAUCAAUUAAAUUUCUGGUUAAACCUGCACCCAUCUGUAGUGGUGCUUCUAACACAGCCCCUCUGCUGCCAAUAGAGCAACACACAUCUAAAAAAUGCCCCAUGAUGUAACGUACCUUGUGUGAACAAUUGUAAAGUAUUGGUACUGUAUGAAUGGUACCGUACAUUUGCUAUUUCUAAAUCUGUAUUACUUUUGAACACUGCAAUGCCAAUUGUAGAAAUUCUUGUUUACAGCUAACUUGGAUUCUGGGGCUAUCUAAGCUGAAGACCAACAAGACGUUUGGUCUCCGAAAUUGGUCAAAUUAAUUAGAAAAUGGUUGGAACGUGUUUUCUGCGAUCUAGGAAUUCCCCAGGAUCGAUCGUCGAUAAUUAUUUUCAGACCUAAUGUGAGAAAAAAUAAUAAAUGCAUAUGAUUCUCAUCAAUAGAAGUAGAAUAUUUUGAGGAAGUUUAGCCUGAAUAUGAACAACCUCUUAUGGAUAACCUUAUCCUUGAGCAAAAACAAAACACUGAAUGCACAUUUCUGUCAGGAAAAAUAUCCAAAACUUCCAUUACUGCUCUGGGGCUCGUUUCCCAAUAACGAUGGAUCUUCGCUCGUACGAUCAUUCUCAUGAUGGAUCUUGCGAACCAUCGUGAAUUUCUUUGGAGCGUUUCCCGAAACUCCUCUUAACAUGAACGCACGUUCACUGCACUCACGACGUUCGUAGGAUUGUAACAGUCCACUGACACUGCUGAAACCGGAGACGAGGAAUGUUGCAGGAAAAUGGGGUUAAUGAGGGUUAAAAUAUCUCCCCAUCAAGGCCAACAGCAGAGUAGCCUACAGAGGCUACUCUGAGAGAAAAGAAUAGAAAAGAGAAAAGAAUAGACUGCAAUAAUAUGAAUGCUAAAGAUAUUAAAACACAAUUGAUUAGGCCUAGGCCAACAUAUGCUAUAUCAGUCCUAAUCCUGAACGCACUGCAUACAUUUUUUAUUUUUUUUAUGAAUGAAGACACCCGCAUGCAAUAAUGAGUUCACGUCUGAGUGUAGACUACAAACGGGAUUAACUGUGGUCAGGGAUGUUCGUUACUGUCUAGACAGGGUCCAAUAAAUAGUGAACUUCAUCACAGCCUCACCGAAGUGCCUACAGUGCUUAAUGCAAACAAUCGCAACAAAAAACGCCUGCAGAAAUUCUCCGACACCCGCUGGUCUCAGCAUGAUGCAUGUCUACAGUAGCCUAUGUCUUCUGUCAUUGAUCAAUAUGAGGACAUUUUAACCAUGAUGGUUGAAUUAAAAUCAGAGGGAGACAGCAAGUGCAGCUCGAAAGCGACCUCCCACACAAGAGCAAUGGAAUCAUUCGAUUUUAUUAUAUGCCUUGUGACGUGGCGUUUGAUCGGUACAUUUCGGCUGCGCAUGUAUUUUUGGAAUUUUAAAUUGCUGCAACAAAUUAUGUUGUUGUUGACUUCUAACAUGUCUCUAUCUUUGCUGUUUAAAUCUAACAGUAGUCUAUGAGUAAUAUAUCGGCGGUAACUACUGUUUUUUGGUUGCGAAAUUGAGCCCAACUGGGCAUUCCGUGGUAUUGGAUGUGUUUCCAUAAAACGCAUCCAAUACACGAAAUGUCCGCUGGUGACGCUGUCACACCAAAUUUGUACCGGCUGCCAAAUUUGUACCGGGUACGUAAUCAGUUGUCCGUUGCCAGGCAGGUAUCAGAAAACAUUCCCGCUCAUGUUGCCAAAGACGAAAUAACAUAAUACAGAUAACGGAUCGCUAGAUAACACUUGUUUUUACUUUAUAUUUGUAUUGUACUUAAUUGUUUAAUCGAAUUUAGCUAGUAAAUUGAGUGUAUAAAGCAGGUUUCGAAAAACAUUUGUGCUCAUGUUGCCAAAGACUAAAUAACAUUACACAUAUAACCGAUUGCUAGAUAACACUUGUUUUUACUUUAUAUUUAUAUUGCAUUUAAUUGUUUAAUCAAAUUUGUAAAAUAAGUGUAUCUGUCUUGUCGCGCUCAAUGAACGAGUUUGCGAAUGUUCUUGAACCUUCCUACGUCAUUCGAAGUGAUCGUCUGUUGCCAGGCAGGUUUGGAAUGGAUUACGUAAGGAUGACGUACCCGGUACAAAUUUGGCACCCGGUACAAAUUUGGUGUGACAACGCCACUGAGGCUAAAGUAGGCUAACGAUGCUCUUAGCAUCCUACGAGUACCCCAGGGCCCUGUACCACGAAGCUCGCUUAGAGGGUGAGCGAAGUAUGUUGAGCUCCAAGCCUGGGUUAGUUGUACCACGAAAGUCGAUCUCUUUUAGCGUCGCUGUAUAACCAUGGUGACUUAUGCUCGCAACCAAACCUGGUCGGGAGCAGUAUUUCGGCUUAGUCUAGCCGGAGAUCGGCUACUUAAAUCGGCGUGCGCAGCUUCCUAGCCCCUCCUCUGACAAUGGAGUCACCAUUUGUGGGUGUUCCCGUGGACCCUGGCGCCAGGGCCGUAGCACCAAAUCCUGGGCCCCUAUACUAUCGGUACUGAUGGACCCCCUGCGCCAGAUUGUUGACGGGGGGUCCGAACGAUUGUUGAC
ensembl:lncRNA